CAAAGGCCUGGUCCUGACUUUAAUAUCAGUUUUAACCCAAAUUAUACAUGCAAGUACCCGCAUCCCCGUGAGAAUGCCCCUCAUUUCCUUUUAGGAAGAAGGGAGCCGGCAUCAGGCGCGCCCCCGCAGCCCAAAACGCCUUGCUAAGCCACACCCCCAAGGGAAUUCAGCAGUGAUUAACAUUAAGCCAUAAGCGAAAGCUUGACUUAAUUAAGGUUAAUAAAGAGCCGGUAAAACUCGUGCCAGCCACCGCGGUUAUACGGAGAGGCUCAAAUUGAAAUUCUACGGCGUAAAGCGUGAUUAGAGAAAAUAUAAACUAAAGCCGAACACCUCCCUAGCUGUUAUACGCCUAAAGAGAUACGAAGCCCCAUAACGAAAGUAGCUUUAAUUUAAGUCUUGAUUUCACGAAAAUUAAGGAACAAACUGGGAUUAGAUACCCCACUAUGCUUAAUUGUAAACAAUGAUGGAAACUUACAAACACCACCCGCCAGGGAAGUACAGACACUAGUUUGAAACCCAAAGGACUUGGCGGUGCUUCAAACCCACCUAGAGGAGCCUGUCCUAUAACCGAUAAUCCCCGUUUAACCUCACCACUGCUUGCUAACUCAGUCUAUAUACCACCGUCGCCAGCUUACCCCAUGAGGGUAUAAAUAGUAAGCCAAAUGGGCCUCCACCCAGCACGUCAGGUCGAGGUGUAGCCUACGCAGUGGGAAGAGAUGGGCUACAUUUCCUGAGACAGUAUAUCACGCAAGGUGUCAUGAAACAAAACACAAUUGAAGGUGGAUUUAGCAGUAAAAAGAGAGUAGAGAACUCUUUUGAAAUUGGCUCUGAAGCGCGUACAUACCGCCCGUCACCCUCCUUUAACUGCUACUACAAAUAAACAUUUAUAAAACCCCAACCAGCAAAAAGGAGGCAAGUCG
rnacentral:ncRNA from 1 species